rnacentral:rRNA from 1 species
UACAGGGGGGGCAAGCGUUGUUCGGAAUUACUGGGCGUAAAGGGCCAGUAGGCGGCCAACUAAGUCACACGUGAAAUCCCCAGGCUUAACCUGGGAACUGCGUGUGAUACUGGAUGGCUUGAAUUCGGGAGAGGGAUGCAGAAUUCCAGGUGUAGCGGUGAAAUGCGUAGAUAUCAAGAGGAACACCGGUGGCGAAGGCGGCCCGCUGGGCAGGAAGGGGUGGGUAACCACCCCGGCUGACACUGAGGCGCGACAGCGUGGGGAGCAAACAGG